rnacentral:rRNA from 1 species
AGGACGAACGCUGGCGGCGUGCUUAACACAUGCAAGUCGAACGAGGUUCAACCGGUCGCAAGACCGGUGAAGACCGAGUGGCGAACGGGUGCGUAACACGUGAGAAACCUGUCCCGGUCUCUGGAAUAACAGUCGGAAACGACUGCUAAUACCGGAUGCCGUCGGAGCGUCGCAUGGCGCGCUGACGAAAGGGCUACCGGAUCGGGAGGGUCUCGCGGCCUAUCAGCUUGUUGGUGAGGUAACGGCUCACCAAGGCAUCGACGGGUAGCUGGUCUGAGAGGAUGAUCAGCCACACUGGGACUGAGACACGGCCCAGACUCCUACGGGAGCAGCAGUGGGGAAUCUUGCACGAAUGGGACGAAAG